CGUUGGCGGGUGCUACCAUGCAGUCGUACGAGAAAGGGGCUUCGGCCCUGAGUAGAGUGGCGCACGGGUGAGUAACGCGUGGGUAAUCUACCCUUGGAUUUGGGAUAACUCUGCGAAAGUGGAGCUAAUACCGGAUAGUCUGGCUUUAAAUAAGAAGUCGGUAAAGGAUGCCUCUGCAUAUGCAUUCGUCCGAGGAUGAGCCCGCGUCUCAUUAGCUAGUUGGUAGGGUAAUGGCCUACCAAGGCAACGAUGAGUAGCUGGUCUGAGAGGAUGAUCAGCCACACUGGAACUGAAACACGGUCCAGACUCCUACGGGAGGCAGCAGUGGGGAAUAUUGCGCAAUGGGCGAAAGCCUGACGCAGCAACGCCGUGUGAGGGAUGAAGGCUUUCGGGUCGUAAACCUCUGUCGGAAGGGAAGAACGGGCAUUGGUCUAAUAGGCCUUUGUUUUGACGGUACCUUUAGAGGAAGCACCGGCUAACUCCGUGCCAGCAGCCGCGGUAAUACGGAGGGUGCAAGCGUUAUUCGGAAUUACUGGGCGUAAAGCGCACGUAGGCGGCCUUGUAAGUCAGGGGUGAAAUCCCACGGCUCAACCGUGGAACUGCCUUUGAAACUGCAGGGCUUGAAUCCUGGAGAGGGUGGCGGAAUUCCUGGUGUAGGAGUGAAAUCCGUAGAUAUCAGGAGGAACACCGGUGGCGAAGGCGGCCACCUGGACAGGUAUUGACGCUGAGGUGCGAAAGUGUGGGGAGCAAACAGGAUUAGAUACCCUGGUAGUCCACACCGUAAACGAUGGAUACUACGUGUCGGGGACUUGAUCUUCGG
rnacentral:rRNA from 1 species